rnacentral:rRNA from 1 species
GGAGACACCUAGGGAUCGCAAGACCUUGCGCUCUUUGAGCGGCCGCCUUCUGAUUAGCUAGUUGGUGAGGUAAAGGCUUACCAAGGCGACGAUCAGUAGCUGGUCUGAGAGGACGAUCCCCCACACCGGGACUGAGACAUUGUCCAGACUCCUACGGGAGGCAGCAGUGGGGAAUUUUGGACAAUGGGGGAAACCCUGAUCCAGCCAUGCCGCGUGAGUGAAGAAGGCCUUCGGGUUGUAAAGCUCUUUCAGCCGGAACGAAACAGUCACGGCUAAUACCCGUUACGACUGACGGUACCGGAAGAAGAAGCACCGGCUAACUACGUGCCAGCAGCCGCCGUAAUAUGUAGAGUGCAAGCGUUAAUCGGAAUUACUGUUUUUAAAGCGUGCGCAGGCGGUUUUGUAAGUCAGAUGUGAAAUCCCCGGGCUUAACCUGG